rnacentral:rRNA from 1 species
UACGAAGGGGGCUAGCGUUGCUCGGAAUCACUGGGCGUAAAGGGUGCGUAGGCGGGUUUUUAAGUCAGGGGUGAAAUCCUGGAGCUCAACUCCAGAACUGCCUUUGAUACUGAGGAGCUUGAGUCCGGGAGAGGUGAGUGGAACUGCGAGUGUAGAGGUGAAAUUCGUAGAUAUUCGCAAGAACACCAGUGGCGAAGGCGGCUCACUGGCCCGGUACUGACGCUGAGGUGCGAAAGCGUGGGGAGCAAACAGGG